rnacentral:rRNA from 1 species
GAUGAACGCUGGCGGCGUGCCUAAUGCAUGCCAGUCGAGCGAACAGACGAGGAGCUUGCUCCUCUGACGUUAGCGGCGGACGGGUGAGUAACACGUGGAUAACCUACCUAUAAGACUGGGAUAACUUCGGGAAACCGGAGCUAAUACCGGAUAAUAUAUUGAACCGCAUGGUUCAAUAGUGAAAGACGGUUUUGCUGUCACUUAUAGAUGGAUCCGCGCCGCAUUAGCUAGUUGGUAAGGUAACGGCUUACCAAGGCGACGAUGCGUAGCCGACCUGAGAGGGUGAUCGGCCACACUGGAACUGAGACACGGUCCAGACUCCUACGGGAGGCAGCAGUAGGGAAUCUUCCGCAAUGGGCGAAAGCCUGACGGAGCAACGCCGCGUGAGUGAUGAAGGUCUUCGGAUCGUAAAACUCUGUUAUUAGGGAAGAACAAAUGUGUAAGUAACUAUGCACGUCUUGACGGUACCUAAGCAGAAAGCCACGGCUAACUACGU